rnacentral:rRNA from 1 species
GACGAACGCUGGCGGCGUGCCUAAUACAUGCAAGUUGAGCGCUGAAGGUUGGUACUUGUACCAACUGGAUGAGCAGCGAACGGGUGAGUAACGCGUGGGGAAUCUGCCUUUAAGCGGGGGACAACAUUUGGAAACGAAUGCUAAUACCGCAUAAAAACUUUAAACACAAGUUUUAAGUUUGAAAGAUGCAAUUGCAUCACUCAAAGAUGAUCCCGCGUUGUAUUAGCUAGUUGGUGAGGUAAAGGCUCACCAAGGCGAUGAUACAUAGCCGACCUGAGAGGGGGAUCGGCCACAUUGGGACUGGGACACGGCCCAAACGCCUACGGGAGGCAGCAGUAGGGAAUCUUCGGCAAUGGACGAAAGUCUGACCGAGCAACGCCGCGUGAGUGAAGAAGGUUUUCGGAUCGUAAAACUCGGUUGGUAGAGAAGAACGUUGGUGAGAGUGGAAAGCUCAUCAAGUGACGGUAACUACCCAGAAAGGGACGGCUAACUACGUG